UACAGAGACUGCGAGCGUUAUUCGGAUUCACUGGGCGUAAAGGGUGCGUAGGCGGCGUCAUAAGUCGGAUGUGAAAGCCCCGGGCUCAACCCGGGAAGUGCACCCGAUACUGCAUGGCUCGAGUACUGGAGAGGUUGGUGGAAUUCUCGGUGUAGAGGUGAAAUUCGUAGAUAUCGAGAGGAACACCGGUGGCGAAGGCGGCCAACUGGACAGAUACUGACGCUGAGACACGAAAGCGUGGGGAGCAAACAGG
rnacentral:rRNA from 1 species